rnacentral:lncRNA from 1 species
AGACAUGUGGAGUCCCAGCAGAGGCCAACCUGUGUCUCUUCAUCUCCGUGAGAAAGGUGCCCCCGAAGUGAAAGAGAUGGCCUGGUGGAAAGCCUGGGUAAGUGGGAGCUGGCAGGAGAUUUGGGUUCCUGCAUGGUGUUGGGUGCUGGUCACCAGGGAGUCCUGAGAAAUGUAAAGUCGCCCUUGGCUGGGAGUGGCUCAGUCUACAUUUGGCUGCCUCCUGGGCCAAGCAUGGAGGGUGGGAAGGGGCCGAGAAGAAACAGCCCCAGGCCUAGAGUGCCCACGGCAGGGAUGGGACCUGGGCCGGGAGACAGGCUGAUGAAGAAAUCUAGAAAUGCAAGGGGGAAGCUGAGGUUUGAGAAAAGUCCAGGGGAGGGACCCUUGCAGGGGUGGGGCCACUCAAAGGAGGGGGUAUCAUGGUUGAGCCUUGUGUGUAAAUGUGUAUGGGGUGCACACACGUGUGCAUUUGGGGAGAAUCAGGCAUACUGCUCCUGGCAGAGGGAACUGUGUGCAGAGGGUCAGAGGGCGGGGAGCUUGGCUUUGAGGGAAGCUGCUCAGCACAGCUCAAGGGUCCUGGUACCGGAGGAGAUGGACCUGGGGAAGCAGGCAGGGCCAGGUCCUGAAAGGCCUUGCCUGGCAGGCUGAGGAGUUAGGCUUUACCUUAAGAGAAGUGGGAAGGCACUGAAGGGCUUUGAGCAUGAGAGUAACCUGAACCUGCUGUUGGGGACCCAUCAAUGCCUUCACCUCAGGGAUCAAUGAUGUUCAUUUGUCAAGACUGGAGAGGGAAGAGGGGAAGCAGGAGGACCUGGCCUGCUAGAGCCUGGAGGAACCCGGGGCUCAGGGCAGCCCAUGCCCAGCAGAACUGAUGGGUUCUCGGGAGCUUUCUGUCUAUGGUUGAGCCUGAGGCCAUCGCUGUGCUAAGGAGUUGAAUAUCCAGAAGGGGACAGAGGUGACAUCUCCCGGCUGCCGGCUCUGCACACCCUUUUCCUUUCCUCCCAGGCAGCCUCAGGAUGUCAGGGCUGCACUUUCUGUUUUGCAGAUGAUGAAAUGAAGGCUCAGAGACACUGAGUGACUUGCUAGGGUCCAAUGGCCAGCAGGCUCCAGUCAGAGAGCAGUUGGGUCUCUCUGCCCAGCCCCAGGUUCUCUGUGAGCUUUUGUGGGAUACCCAGGCUUGUCCAGCUUCAGGGAGUCUCUGGAUCAUAGAUGUCGCAACCCAAGCAAGUGUCCUCAGGGUCAGACAUGCUAGGUUCUGGACAGGUGGGACAAAGAGGAAGCCAGGCUGAGGUGGGGCAGCUGUCCUGGCCCCCAGGGAAGCAGACUUCUUCCAGGACAAGGGGCCAUGGAGGCCUGCAGCUUCAACCAGACUGCUGGGAACCUGCCUUUGAGGAGGUGGACAUGGCAGGGAGAGCCCAGUGCUGGGUGGUUUCCAAAGUCAGUUGCUGGCCAAGGUAGUCUGGCACUGGGCCUUGCACCCAGUGCAGCAGGACAAAGGGCUGUCCAUGUAGGGACCUGCCAAAUUGACAGGAUCACUGUGACACUCACUGAGUCCCUACUCUGUGGCCGGACCCUUCUCUAAGCACCUCACAUUCAAUAUCUCCCUUGAACCUCACAAGGAGUCUAUGAAGUAGACACCAGUAUCCUUAUCCACAGAUGAGGAAACUGAGGCACAAGUAGGCUAGGCAGGUGCCCGAACUCACUAGUAAGUGUGAGAGUCUAGGUGAGAAUCUGAACAGCCUGACUCCAGGGCCAAAACCAUACCCUGGUCGUCCAUACCCCAUGUGAGAGCUGGCUCGGGGUAGCAAGUUCACAGGUAGACCCCACCUGCAACAGCUGAGCUGCUAGCGAAGACCCAGUGUCCUCUAGGCACAAAGCUGGGCCAGGAACGGGAUGGGAGGAGAUGAGGGAGCCACUGGAGAGAGAUCUGUCUGCAGGCAGGGCCCAUCUGCACCUCUCUUUUUGGUGUUGCCUUUUCCUCUGUGUCUCUCAUAGAGACAAACCCAUCUCCCAGGCCUCUGGGCAGCCACAUAGCAGGGGAAGGCCAAGGCGUGGCAGCUCCCCUGUGCCUGUCACAGAACAAGUUAUAUUAAUAGAUGUAGUCACAGGCUGGUCUGAGUCACCUUUUCAGUGAAAAUGUGCCUGUCUGGACUAGCACGGCCCUGGGCAAGACCCUGCAGGAGCCUGAGGCUGACCCUUCCUUCUCAGCAGGAGGUCUGGAGCUCCAGGACUCCACACUGAUAGCCAGGGCUCCGAUUCCCAGAACACUUAUUUUCUAAAACCUUAGAGUGGGAAGUGAGACAGAGGCUUCUCAAUGCAGCAAAAUCAGAACCAGCCCGGGAGCUGCUUACAAAUGCUGCACCUGAGACCUACCGCACCCCUGCGGGACUGCAUGCUCCUCAGGGAUGCGGUUACACAGCCUGGGCACUCGCUGGUGCACCACAGCCCCCGAGUGCUGGGGCAGAGGGAAGCCGGCAGGCACUGAGAGCUGAGAUGCCUCCCACAUUCCCAGACGACCUGCGUUCCUGUGGGUGAAGCUUCCUUCAGUGGAACGUUCCAGGAACACUCAUUGCCUGGGAAAGGUGGAGUCAUCAGUAGGGCAGGGGAGGUAGAUAGAGCUCAGCUUCUGAGUCAGGCUGGGGAGUCCCAACAGCAUCGCUUACUAGCUGUGUAAGGGAGUCCAGAUCCCUUUCUGUAAAGUGAGGCAUCAGUACUUACCUAGCACAACUGUUGAGGAAGCCAUGACAUAAGCAUUGCUUCUAAAGCACCUGGCCCAGGUCUGGCACACACAAGGGGCUUGAAGUGCUAACAGGAGUAAUAGCAGAGCGUGACUCCACAAGCAAGGGAUAUCGUGUGUGUGGACACCGAUGAGCACAACUUUAUUUGUUUUUAAACAUUCAGGGCCUAGUAGAUAGCAGGCUUUCAACAAAUAUUUUUGAAUAACAACAAACAAGAGUAUGGACUUUGGGAACAGGAGAGCCUAGUAGCCAGCGAGCCUGAGCCAAUCCUUGAUGGCCUCCAAUUCUGAGAAGACUCUCUGGGCCCCCUUAGGCUCCCUGUGGAAGAAAGCUUCCCCAGUCAAUCCUAAUAAAAAUACUUCUGAGACAGAUCUAACAGGACAAAGUGGAGUCUCUCCACUCUUUCAGUAGCUCCUUCACCCCAGGUGCUGUUUGGGGUUCUGACACUGCCAUGGCAUGGCCAGCAGGAUGGCCCCUAGGGCUCCUGGGGCUGCUCUAUAAGAGCUUCCCACCCCUGACCUGCAGUCCAUGAGGGCAAGGCCAGAUCCGGGCACAUGCCCAUCUGUGUUGUUCUCAUGCUCUCAGGGGGUAGAGCUAGUGUGUUGGACUUGGCAUGUUUAGGGUCACCUCCCUGAGGGUUGACAACCUGAGCAAAAUCAGCAUUCCCUUGGCAAGGAAUAAAGGGGGAAUGGAUUUGUGGUCAGCAACCCACAUCGUUGGUCAGCAACCCACCGCCAAGCAUUCUGCCUGCAACAGGGUGGGGCUGGCCAGGGGAGGCUCCUCAGGGAAGGUGAAAGCUGUGCAGAGUUUUGCAGGAUGACUCAGUGCUUAUCAGGUAGACAGAUAAGGAAGAACAUUCCAGGGAGAGGGAGGAAUGCUAACAACAGCAGGGGAUCUGGUCUGUACUAGACAUGCCAAAGGAAUGGUGUGUCCAUAUCAACAGAGGAGGGAGAGACAGAAGAGAAAGAGCUUGUCAGGGCCUGAGUCAGAGCGGGCUCAUGCUGUGGGGCUAAGAAGCUCAAACGAUUUCCAGAGACAGUGGGGAAGCUUUACAGGGACAGGCAGGGGAGGAUCUUAACCCGGCUUUCGUAAGCCUCUGGCUUGAGUAUGGAAGGUGAGUCUGGGACAGGGAGCCCAGCGCCGAAGUGUUGCAACAGUAUAGGGAGACAUACAGACCAAUUCCCUCCCACCUAACAGCUCUGUGCUUUGGGGUCCUGGGUUAGUUUCCUGGGAGAAGGCUGGCCUUGGCUACCUCUGUCCUUGACCAAGGACAUCGUUUUAAAUAUUUGUGAUGUGUCCUAGGCCACUGCAUCUCUGUCCCUGUAGCGAAGAGAAGAUACUGAUUCCUAAGCUCCUACUCUGAGAACACAAAUAUCUGCAAUACCUCGGUAAGCCCUAGGCCUGAGUGUGAGGUUGCAGGCACUUCCAUGGCCCCAUGCAGGUGUCCAAGUUCCCUCGUGGUAUUUGGCCAAGGGGGGCCCUGUGUG